AUGAGUUCUUGUUUCGUACCGAACGGGGCCAGCUUGGAGGAUUGCCAUUCCAAUCUAUUCUGUCUGGCUGACUUGACGGGGAUCAGAUGGAAGAAGUUUGUGUGGCAGGGCCCCACCUCUGCUCCCAUCCUCUUCCCGGUGACGGAGGAGGACCCCAUCCUGUGCAGCUUCAGCCGCUGCCUUAAGGCCGACGUGCUGAGCGUGUGGCGGCGCAGCCAGCGGCAGGGCUGGAGAGAGCUCUGGCUCUUCUGGUGGGGGGACGACCCCAACUUCGCUAAUCUGAUCCACCAUGAGCUGGCAGCCGAGGAUGAUGACGAGUGGGAGAACGGCCUCUCCUACGAGUGUCGCACUCUGCUGUUCAAAGCCAUCCACAACCUGCUGGAGCGCUGCCUCAUGAACCGCGGCUUUGUACGCCUCGGCAAGUGGUUCGUCAAACCCUACGAGAAGCACGAGAAGCCGAUCAACAAGAGUGAGCACUUGUCCUGCGCUUUCACCUUCUUCCUGCACGGCGAGAACAACGUGUGCACCAGUGUGGAGAUCAACCAGCACCAGCCCAUCUACCACCUUACAGAGGAGCACCUGGCCCUGGCCCAGCAGGCCUCCAGCCCGUUUCAAGUCAUCCUGAGUCCAUUUGGCCUGAAGGGAACGCUGACCGGCCAGUCGUUUAAGAUGUCGGACCCCCCCACGCAGAAGCUGAUCGAGGAGUGGAACCAGUUUUAUCCCAUCAGUCGCAGCAACAAGGACGGGGCUUUAGACGAUAAGUCUGAGGUUCUGGACUGGGAGGAUGAUUCUCUGGCCUCUGUAGAGGUCCUUGUCGGCGGAGUGCGUAUGGUUUACCCAGCCUGCCUGGUGCUCGUACCCCAGUCAGACAUCCCCGUCGUGGCCCCUGUGGGGUCCUCUCACUGCACUGCCGUCUACCCGGGUGGCCAACAAGUGCCUGCUUCCCAGCGAGAGCCUGCCAUGUCACUGGUGACCCUCACCCCUCCCACGUCACCAGAGGACGCUCACACAGUCGACUCUCAUUCGGCCCAAAAGUGGGUUAAGAUGCCAUCAUCGUCAGAUUCUUUCAGCGUGGACAGAACGAGUCACCACGGGGGGAAGAUUCCUCGCAGGAUGGCCAGUCAGGUGGUGGAGCGUGUCUGGCAAGAGUGCAAUAUCAACAGAGCGCGGAACAAGCGGAAGUUUCCAGCUGCGUCCAACGGUACCUGUGAAGACGAGGUGGAGGCCAAAGUCGGAGCCUGGGAUUUUGUGGUGCCUUCCCAGAGAUCCUGCUGUGGCUGCUCCAGACAUAAAAACGUAGCGAAGCAGCGCCCGGGCGGCGCCCCGGGCCAAACACAGUCCACGGCUCAGGCCUCCCAGCCUCCAGCCAAGCACAAAACUGGAGGAGAGAAGCCGGAGAAAGGAGAGAAGCAGCCCAAGAGGCCGCAGACGCCGUUCCAUCACCGCAGCUCCACCAGCGAGGAGGCCUCCAUGGAGAACGAGGCGGCGGUGGGCCAGAGGCUGGCCCUGAGGGGGCAGGACGGGGGACGCUUCCGAUCCUCCGAUGUUAGCAGCCUCACUAAAGCCACGCAGCUCCACGGCGAAGCCAUCGGUGCGGGGCCCUCAGAACAGUCCAACUCCCCCCAGCCCCCGCCACUUAGCCCCCACCCCUGCGAGCGCAGUGAGGAGUCAGGGGAGGCCAUAAAGAACCCUUCCACCCCCAACAGCCAACACUUUUACCAGCUGCCCCCAGAGCCCUGCCUGGCGGGGGCGAAGGGAGGCAGCGAGGAACCCGGCGGCCCCGAGGGCAUCAGUCAGCACUUUCACUCCCAUCCAGGGAACUCGGCUUUCUCCGAGCCUCCUGAGCCCACCAUGUACGUGGGAGCAGCCGUCGACCUGGAGGACGACGGCUCCCACACACCGUGGAGGUUAUUCAACCUGCCUCGCAGGAAGGAGGCGGAGCUACCUACGCCGCCGCUGCCUGGAGACAAGCUGAGGGACGAGGCCGCCGCAUCGCAGGACCUGGUGUCGGUCACAGAAGUGAUGUCUACAUCUAAAAUGCCACUAAAGGUGUCUGAGGAGCGGCUUCAGAUGUAUAGAGCCAGGAGGAACCAGUACUUAUCUGCUGCCGUCACGGAUGGAGACCACGAGCCCGAGGUGGACCCCUACGCCUUCGAGGAAGGAGACGUCAAGUUCACAUUCUCCAACAAGAAGGAUAAAGGGGCGGGAGAGCGGGAGCCAGGCAAGAAGAACAAGGGUGAAGAUGGAGGAGCCGGUCAAACUGAUGAUGCCCAACACGCCGCUGCUCAAAACCGCAUGACCUCCAGCAGCCUGAUGCACGUGACGGACCUGGUGGUUUCCUUCAACGACCUCGACAACCUUUUCAACUCUGAUGAGGAUGAUCUAACGCCCGGUACCAGGCGGCCUGUGAACGGGACCGAUGAGAAGUUUGGCAAAGAGUCAAAGCCAUCCUCGUUGGACCCAGCCUCCUGCAUUAGUUCAGACCUACAGAGUUUUCCCACGCCUCCAUCCCUCGAGCAGCAGAUCAUGGGUUACUCGCCCAUGAACAUGUGCAGCAAAGAUUACGGCAUCAUGGAGACUAACCACGGCAUGACCAUGCUGGACGGGACCUCUGUGCUGGGGGGCCACUUCAAGAUCGAGGUGGAGGAGAGCUUCUGCAGCCCCAAACCGUCUGAGAUCAAGGACUAUUCGUUUGUGUACAAGCCCGAGCUGUGCCAGGCGUUUGUAGGCUGCUCCAUGUUCGCCCCCCUGAAGACGCUGCCCAGCCAGUGCCUCCCCCCUGUCAAACUACCAGAGGACUGCGUCUACCGAGCGAGCUGGACCAUGACCCGAGACGUGCUGCAUCCUGUGCCAGUGUUGGGCUUCCUAAACAAAGACAGUAAUAUUCCCAGUGUGGGCAGCACCAUGGACCAGGACUACACCCAGACCUACACCCCCCAGACCCACACUCCUUUCAUGUCCAACAGCGCCCCCCCCAGCAACAGCGGCGCCGGCAUCCUGCCUUCCCCCGCUACGCCACGCUUCUCCGCCCCAACCCCACGCACGCCUCGGACUCCGCGCACCCCUCGGGGCCCCUCCAGCGUCCAAGGCUCAGUAAAGUACGAGAAUUCGGACCUGUACUCUCCGGCCUCCACGCCUUCGACGUGCCGACCGCUGAACUCGGUGGAGCCGGCCACAGUCCCCUCCAUCCCCGAAGCCCACAGCCUCUACGUGACGCUGAUCCUCUCCGAGUCGGUCAUGAACCUCUUCAAGGACUGCAACUUCGACAGCUGCUGCAUCUGCGUGUGCAACAUGAACAUCAAGGGAGCCGACGUGGGCGUGUACCUGAGCGGCGCCGACGGGGAGGACCAAGAACCCUGCAGCUGCGGCUUCAGCGCCGUGGUGAACAGGCGCUACGGACACGGCUCGGGCCUCUUCCUGGAGGACGAGCUGGACAUCAUGGGCCGCGGCUCGGACGUCAGCAAGGAGGCGGAGAAGACCUUCGAGGAGCAGAGGCUGUCGUCACUGGAGAGGACGGGGGUCAGAAACGGGGACGGCUUCCCAGACGAGCUGAUUUUGCUCCUGCAGGACCAAUGCACAAACCCAUUUUCACCCAUCUCGGUAACAGAGCAUGAGGCGGCGGCGUGGGGGCCGAGCGGGGCCCCUAUACCCGCCUGCAUACGAGUGGAGGAGAGGGACUACCGCAACGACUGCUACAUGGCUCUGGAACACGGCAGGCAGUUCAUGGACAACAUGUCUGGAGGCAAAGUGGACGAGGCGCUGGUGAAGAGCAGCUGCCUGCACCACUGGGCCAAACAAAACGCGGUGGACGUGAGUUCCCUGUGCUCUCAGGAUGUGCUGCGGGUGCUGAUGUCGCUCCAGCCUGUUCUCCAGGACGCCAUCCAGAAAAGGAGGACAGUGCGGUCGUGGGGGGUGCAGGGUCCCCUCACCUGGCAGCAGUUCCACAAGAUGGCAGGGCGGGGCUCCUACGGCACAGACGAGUCUCCAGAGCCUCUGCCCAUCCCCACCUUCAUGGUGGGCUAUGAGUCUGAUUCCGAGUUCGUGGUCCUGUCUCCGUUCGGUUUGCCGUACUGGGAGAAGCUUCAGCUGGAACCGUACGGCUCUCAGCGGGACAUCGGGUACGUCGUCGUUUGUCCCGACAGCGAAGCCAUGCUCAGCGGCGCCAAAAGCUUCUUCAGAGACCUCACAGCUGUUUACGAGUCCUGUCGCCUGGGUCAGCACCGGCCUAUUUCCAAGAGUUACCCUGAUGGGAUCGUCGUCGUUGGCGGCAGUGCAGCCAAAAACGUCAUGGAUCAGCCCGUCAGCGACUGGUUCCUUAAGGCUGCCAGCAGCAACAGCGACGCCUUCACCAAGCUAAAGCUCUAUGCACAAGUUUGCCGGCACAACCUCGCUCCUUACCUCGCCUCUCAGACAUUAGAUAGUUCACUCCUCACACAGCCUAGUGCCUCUUCUUCAUCCAGCCACACUUCAUCCAAUCAACAGUCUAGCUCCACCUCUACCACAGCCAGCCAGCAAACCCCCUCAGCACCCAACAGCAGCAGCACCAACGGCGGCUCUGGAAACGCCUCCGCUUCAUCCAACGGCCUGCCGGCGUCCUCGGGCCAGCCGGGCAGCACCGUGCCAUCUGGAAAGCCCAACUCUUUCCCGCCUUUCGGAACCGUGAACAGCCAGGGUUCCCAGAGCGGACAGCAGGCCGCCACCCAGAACGCUUCCACCUCAGGGGACGGCUCCAGCAGCCAGGCGCAGGGGCCCACAGAGCCUCCUGAAAGCACUUUGGAGCGGGAGAAGAUAGGCGUGCCUACAGACGGGGAGUCCCACGCCGUCACCUACCCUCCUGCCAUUGUUGUUUACAUCGUGGACCCCUUUAGCUACGAGGAGGCAGACAGUGGCUCCCAUUCCAGCGUUUGGACGCUGGGUUUGCUGCGCUGUUACCUGGAGAUGCUUCACUUUCUGCCUCCAAACAUUCGCAACUCUAUUUCUGUACAGAUUAUUCCAUGUCAGUAUCUGCUUCAGCAAGUCAGAGGAGAAGACCAUCACAUCUACGCACAGCACCUCAAAUCCCUGGCCUUCUCCGUCUUCACUCAGUGCAGACGGCCGCUGCCCACCUCCACCAACGUCAAGUCACUAACGGGCUUCGGCCCCGGCUUAGCCAUCGACAACUCACUCAAGAGCUCAGAGAGGCCAGAGUGUUUGCGUCUCUACACGCCUCCAUUUAUCCUGGCUCCAGUAAAGGACAAGCAGACGGGGCUGGGCGAGACGUUUGGUGAAGCAUCACAAAAAUACCAUGUGCUGUUUGUGGGAUACUGUCUGUCCCACGACCAGCGCUGGCUUCUGGCUACAUGCACUGAUCUGUACGGGGAACUGCUGGAGACCAACAUCAUCAACAUCGACGUGCCCAACAGAGCUCGGAGGAAAAAAGGCUCCGUACGUCGGCUCGGCCUGCAGAAGCUGUGGGAUUGGUGCCUGGGAUUAGUUCAGAUGACAUCUGUUCCUUGGAGAGUGGUGAUUGGCCGGCUGGGCAGGAUGGGGCAUGGAGAGUUAAAAGACUGGAGCAUCUUAUUGAGCAGGAGAAACCUGCAAUCAAUCAGCCGCCGUCUGAAGGAAAUGUGUCGAAUGUGUGGAAUCUCCGCCUCCGACACUCCCAGCAUCCUCAGUGUGUGCCUGGUCGCCAUGGAGCCGCAGGGAUCCUUCAUCAUCAUGCCAGACUCCGUCUCCACAGGCUCCGUGUUUGGCCGGAGCACCACCUUAAACAUGCAGACCUCGCAGCUCAGCACGCCGCAGGACACCUCCUGCACGCACAUCUUGGUGUUUCCCACCUCCGCUUCUCUUCAAGUGGCCAGCUCCAGUUACACCAACAUCGACAACAACAUCGACCUCCUCAACGCCACCACCGAUGGAUCUGGUAUUGGGAUCUUUGACCUGCUUGACCCGGAGAAUGAGUUGGAGGCAGCCAUCAUCAACAUGUCACCCACUACUUCUCCAGUACACUCCCCCAGCCAUAAUUACCACCACGGGGUGGACGGCAGUAAGGGCCAGAGCACAGACCGCAUGGAGUCUCACGAAGAGGUUCCUAACCUCCUGCAGCAGCCGCUGGCGCUUGGUUACCUGGUCUCCACGGCGAAGGCCGGCCCGCUGCCCGACUGGUUCUGGUCGGCCUGUCCGCAGGCUCAGAACCAGUGUCCGCUCUUCCUCAAGGCCUCUUUGCACCUCCAUGUGUCUUCUGUGCAAUCAGACGAGCUUCUGCAUAGCCGGCACUCCCACCCCCUCGACUCCAAUCAGACCUCAGAUGUACUCAGAUUUGUGCUGGAGCAGUACAACACUCUCUCCUGGCUUACGUGUGACCCGGCAACGCAGGACCGAAGAUCAUGUCUGCCCAUUCACUUUGUGGUGCUCAACCAGAUGUACAACUUCAUCAUGACCAUGUUGUAACCAGCAGCCUGUCAGAGGAGAGGCGGAGGAAGGAGAAGCCUUCAAAGAGGAGCAAAGUGGCACCAGAGUACAGAGCUGGAUCCUGUACCCAGAUGGAAUCCCUGCUCCCGGCCCGGCCCGGCAUGGCCCGCCAUCACCAGGACUCAGAGUGUAGAAAACCGGCAACUAAUGAACGCCAGAGAUUGACGGGUUUACUGUCAUGGUAUGUAGCGUGGCAGCAGAGUCACUGGCCAGUCUGUAUUAGAGAGUUUAUCUGUAAUGUUAUUGGAAGAAAAGGGACAUAUUUGAUCUAGGAAAAACGGAUCUCUGCUUUUAAUACGACAAAAUCCUUUUUAAGGCUUUAGAUGAAAAAGUAUCCAAAUGAAAUGCCUGCAUCUAUCUUAUUUAUUGUAAGUUUUUAAAUGUAUAAAUUGUCAUAUUUCUUACCCUCUUUUAUAUAUAAAAUGAAGGUUUAUAUCACCUUCCUGCUUUAAAGCAAUUGGUCUCAGAUAUAUGUAUUCGUCUUAAUAAAGGAACCUGGAAGAAAAUCCCAUAAAAAAAAAAAGAAAUAAAGUCCCAGUAGGUUGCUUUUAGAGUAUUAUUUUUUUGUAACGGAGACAGAAUAUUUGUAUUGUCACAAUGUACAGAAGAAUGAGAGGAGAAUUAUGUUUCAUGCCUUUGAGCAUGAAGGACUUACAGCAAGGCUGUAGCUACAGAGGACUUGUACAGCAAUGAACUUCACUGUGUUCAAAUAAAGAGGUACAUUGUUGUAUAGGAUAUUUUAUACCACACAUUUAGACACAAAAACCAAACUGCAAUAUAUAUAUAUAUAUGUAUAUAUAUAUAUACAUAUAUAUAUACAUGAAUACCACGCCAACUGGUGGUGUGGUUUCUGUUUUAGGAAUAAA